rnacentral:rRNA from 1 species
UGAACGACUCUCGGCAACGGAUAUCUCGGCUCUCGCAUCGAUGAAGAACGUAGCGAAAUGCGAUACUUGGUGUGAAUUGCAGAAUCCCGUGAACCAUCGAGUUUUUGAACGCAAGUUGCGCCCCAAGCCUUCGGGCCGAGGGCACGCUUGCCUGGGCGUCACGC